rnacentral:rRNA from 1 species
UACGUAGGGUGCGAGCGUUGUCCGGAAUUAUUGGGCGUAAAGAGCUCGUAGGCGGUCUGUCGCGUCCGUUGUGAAAACUCGAGGCUCAACCUCGGGCUUGCAGUGGAUACGGGCAGACUAGAGUGCGGUAGGGGAGACUGGAAUUCCUGGUGUAGCGGUGGAAUGCGCAGAUAUCAGGAGGAACACCGAUGGCGAAGGCAGGUCUCUGGGCCGCAACUGGCGCUGAGGGGCGAAAGCAUGGGGAGCGAACAGG